AGGGAGCUGUGCAGCCUUGAUGUACAAGACAAAUACACACUGUAGCUCUGGGCUUACAAAAUCAUCUAUCAUCACCCUGCCUUUGGACGUGACCAGUACAUUGUGUGUUUCACAGAAAUUAAUCUGGUGUUUCGGAGGAGAAAGGCAUUUCGGAAUCAGUCUGCGUGCAGAACCCUUCCUGCAGACGCAGUUUCAACGCCUUUCGCCCCUGCUCAGCAAGUCUCAAACUUGACCUUCGAGAGGAUUUCAAGGGUAAUGCCUUCCUCCCUUUCCCCGAUUUGCCCAGGUGACCACCUUCAGACGUCUAUUCUCCUUUGGGCGCCCUACCCACCAGUAUCGCCAGAGAUCACCUUAGACAGAACAGCCUUCACCUCGGACCCAGGCCCUCUGCAGACUCAAGUUGGGGAUGUACGUCCGAGUGGUCCAAGAACUCCCCAAGUAUCUCCCAGUCGCUGGCUCUCCCGAGAAGCUGAAACGCGCCUGCCCGCGCGAGAGCUUUGGAGAGCGGCUCAGGACAGGGAGCGACGCGAAGCUGUCCCAACUUCCAGGAAGUGGAGGGCCGGUCCCCGCGCUUCCUGCGGGCGACGGUCCGGAGUCUUUGAUCCCGUUGGUCAAGCGGGCCCGAGUUCUCCGCAGCGAGUUGUACUCAAAGCCAAACGCCUGGAGCCCCAACCCUGAGAGCCCUGGCAAGGGCGUGGAGGGCGGAGAGGGGUGGCACCCUGAGCCCAGCUCUGGGCCCAGGGUAGGGGGGCGCGUGGGGCUGGGGGCGCCCAGGGCGCCCAGGGGGUGGUCCCUGCACUUACAAGUGGACCCCAGCUUUCUGCAGGGCCUCCAGAGUGGGACUGCAUCACCUGGCGGUAACACCCUCCCGCACCCAGACUUCUGGAAGAAACUUCAGGUCCAAACAACACCGCCUCUUCUCAAUCGCUGAGGAUAAACCAUGAAUGAAGUUAGGGACGACUCUUGUCAGAAGUGCCCCUGUUUUCCAAAACAAUAGCAAUUCUAGAGGAGGCAACGAUGCCCCCACGGGACAAGCUGAGAAUCUACGUCUGGGUUUCUCAGAGUGUGAGCCCCAGACCAACAGCCACACCCGCAAAGGCAGAGAUUAGGGCCCCCCUCCACCCACAGGCGACUCCGCACAGAAGGUUCUCACACACAGUUGGGAAAUGUUGCAAUAUUAAAAUAUUUCCUAAUAGCACCUAAUUUAUUUCCUAUUUGUUCUGCUUGUUGGUGUCUGAUUCAUGGACUGGAAACCAUUUGAUUUUUAGCAAAUUGAUCGAUUUAAUAAUUCAAAAAUUAUUUCUGUUUUCAAAUAAUCUUCCCUGGAAAGUGAUGUUGAAAUUGUUUCUUCAAGUUAAAGCUUCAUGAAAAUUGCUUUGAAAAUUCCUUGAAAAAAUAAAUAGACUCUAUUUUUACA
rnacentral:lncRNA from 1 species